rnacentral:Y_RNA from 1 species
GGCUGGCCUGAGUGCAAUGGUGUUUACAACUAAUUGAUCACAACCAGUUACAGAUUUCUUUGCUCCUUUUCCAGUUCACUGCUUCACUGGACUAGCCUUAA